UAAAUUGAGAGGCACUAUAGUUGUCUUCUAAAAGAAUAUACAUAUCUUUUAUUCCAAUCUUUCAUUCUGUUCUUCUCCGAUCUCUUGCUCUGUUCAAGCUCUAGGUAUGCAUAUCUUCUUCUUUUUUCCUCGAUCUUCUUUUAUUUCUGGGUGGGCUUCUUUUGAGUUCUCUCCAUCCUUCGUAGUUUUGCAUCUUCAUCCUCAAAUUUGGUUAUUUAUUUCUCUGUCUCCCUUUUUCUCUUUUCCCGUGAGCUUUAGCAGAUGCAAAAAGAAAAUUUAUUCUUAAUUUCUGCAAAACCUAAAUGCUUCGCUGCCUUCUUGAUCUCUAUCUCUCUUGAUAAUAACCCUGAUCUAGGUGUUAGGCCUAAUUAAAUAGAAGAAAAUUUUGGGAUUCUUUCAUAUUUCUGAUUUUGCUUUGCUGGCUUUCUUUGUUUUCUUGAUAUUUUUUAGUUUUGGAAUUUUACAAUUAUUGUGUUCUAAAUUGGAGAGUGUACUUCAAAUUAUUUUCGAAGUCCGCCCUUUUAUAUGAUAUAUUGUGAUUUGUGUAUUUGAUAUAGAUUUAAGUUUUUAAUCGACUCCGAUCAUGGUCACUGUUGAUUCAGAAUUUGUAAUUAUCACCCUUCAUUUACAUGGAUGUUGAACAAGAAAAAGUAGGAGUUUGAACGUUAGUUGCAUUAAAGUAUGUUGGUUGAUUGGUAUAUGGUUUUCUCUUGCACUUAUGUAAGUGGAUUCCACUGUGGACAAGUUGUUAAUAUUGAAAAUGAGAAACACCCAUCAUUCUCAUUCUUCUGGAUAUCAUCGCAUGAAAUUUUCUCUCCAUUCUUCUUUAAAAGCAGUGGAAAAUAACUUUUGUCAUAUGAAUUUGUGUCUUUUUACAUUAAAAUGUAUAAGAGUAGAUGGUGGAAGAUAUUUGCCUCCACAACCAUCUUUAAGUUGAGUAGCUUUGAAUUAGUAUGAUAUGAUAAUCCAUUGAUAGAGAACAUUAAUCUUGAAAUUAAAUUAGAAUAUUACCAUCUCAUUUGUGGUGUAGACUACUUUAACUCCCAGUAGCAUGUUUGUGGUUCUUCUAUACUUCACACUGGUGGUUUGUUUUUGGAGAGAAAUAGAACAUCGGUUUGAUCUUUCCUUGAUUUUUCCCCCUACUUUGAUGCAAAUAAAAUAUAAAUAGUAUGGAUCAGAUGCUAGAUUUCAUUAGCUUUAUCAAUAGCUAUAACCAAAGUGUGCUUUUAUUCUACUGGUCUAUGUUGGAAUGGAGGGUAGAACUAAUUAUACUAUUUAAUGAUGAUGCACUUCAUAUCAUAAUGAAUAGUGAUGAGAUAAUGGGUGUAAGAAUUAAUAGCAUGUUAUAUGAUGAUGUAAUUUAUGUAACAUAAUAUACAAAGCAGAUAAAACUAUAGUAAAUACUAUUGGAUAGGUUUCUUUAAAUUAGUACCACAAAACUACAUUCUCUGUAUAAGUGUUAUUCGAGUAACUAACUAUGUAGAAACAUAUAUCAUGGUACUAAUUUUAUUUGAUUUGGGCUUCUUGGUGACAAUUUUAUUUUUUUAAAUAAGGAGGAGUUUCUCCUCAAAAUACUAAAGAAAAAACUAGAUCUUUUUCAGAGUGGUAGAGAUAACAAUGACUAAGCUAGCAGUUAUUUAAAAGUUGCACGCAUAACUACUACAAUUGUUUAAAUUGCUUUAGUUUUUUAAUCUUUCUCUACAUUUUGGUUAUAGUUGUCUAAUACUUUAUUAUUUUAUUGUGUUUUAUUUUUAUUAUUAAUAGUUCUUAGAUCUUCUAUAUUCAGCAAGAGACAACAGAAUAAGUUCAACCUAUUACAGACCAUCGAUGAAUUAACUCCGAAGUCAUUCCAUAUAAUAAUUUUCAUUAAAACUAACAGUGCCUAUAUGUCCAAAACUACAAGCAAACAUAAUUAGUUACUUAAAGUUUACCAGAGAGACUCUCUUCCUACACAAGUCAAAAGUGCAUAAGUAGCUAAAACUCCAACUCAUUUGUUCUGCUUAUAACUACUUAUGGGACGCGAAUUAGGUAGAUAGUAUAUCAUAGUUGUCUAAAAGAGAUAUAUAUUUUUGCUAGAUUCUGUUCGACGUGGUUGCUACUAUCAAUGGUUUCGACGUGGUUGUUUAUGCGUCAAUAAUAAUUAGGUUAACAUCAUUUUUGACAUUUUAUGUAUAAAAACUUACAUUUGUUUCACAGAAUUAUAGCCGCCAACUGCAUUACAUAUUUGAUCGUUUCAUCUUGACCCAAUUUUUUUUCCAGCUUUGUCCUCCCCUCCAACUUUCUCUAUUCAAUUAUCUUCUCUGCUGGGUCUCGCCGUGUUCACUUGAUGUUAUCCUUCUGCUAAUUGCUUAUGCUUGUUCUUAGUUUCCAUUGUUUGUUGAUCUGAAUUUUCUGCUUGUUUAUCUUUUGUUUAUUGGGAAUUUAUUUUUGUGAAUUUAGUCUUCUGUUUCUUCUCUGCUACUGGCAUUUAAUUUCUCUUUAAAUUUAUUUAUUCAAGAAGCUCAACACCUCAGCACUGUACUAUAAAGUAACAAUAAUAGCGGCAUGCAAUUUCAACAUUUUAAUUCGUUAUGCCUAUGUACAUUUUUGGGUCCUUUUAAUUUAAUGUGUUGUAUAUACUUUUUUGGUAAUUGUUGAAUCCAAAUAUGUUCUUUUUGGUUUUUCUUCGUGUUGUCUGUGUGGGCUCUUCACAUACAUGUUACUAUUUGUUCAAAUUCCUAAAAUGGAGUUAUAUCUAGAAAUACACACACUAUUGUAUCACUAUUUACUCAGUUUCGGCUUCUCGCUCAUUUUAUUUUUUGCUAAGGUUAAUUUUUAAACUCGAUUCCACAAUUUGUUAUGUAUUUAUUGACAAGAACUAAAAGAAGCUUUUUAAAAAAGAAUGAAAUUAUGGAGGAACCUUAGAAGGCAUAAGAACCUUUAUAUAUAUAUAUAUAUAUAUAUAUAUAUAUAUAUAUAUAUUGGUAGUCAGGUUUGUUCUCCUUUUUGUUCAAUACAUGAAUACACAAAUAUUAUCAAAAAUAUCAUUGAUAUUUCAUCCCAUAAGGGAUCGUGAUAAAAAACUAAAGAUGGAAAUUAUAUAUUGUUUUCAGUGAAGUGUUUGAAUCAUAUUUGUUGUCUUUGUACUAAAUAUAUCAUAUUAAUCAUGUUGGUGUCAUUGUACAAGCAACACAUAUCUACUAUAUAUACUUUCAAAUGAACGUCCAUAUACUAUUUUUAUUUCAGGUCUUUCUAAUCAUGUUUGGAUGUACUUUUUGAUUAAAAAGUAAUUUAUUCUUAGUCUAAUUUGUAUUUUGAUAUGACUAAGAAAAAGGUUUACUUUGUAAAUUAAGCCUGCUAUUUGGAUUAUGGUUGUGAAUAUUGCUAUAUUUAGUUGUUAAGUCACUAUAUUUGUUCUUUAAAUUACUGGUACUGGUGUUUGUAUUGCUAAGUGCAAAUUAACAGGUUUGCUGUAUGAGUUUGGGUUCUUCUUUGUGCGACUCUAGCGGUGAAAUCAUGUCAUAUUUUGUGUCGUUGAUUACUACGUCUUGUGUUGUAGUGAUGAAUAUUUAUUGUGCUAAUAUCAUAUUGGUACUAUUAUAUUACAAGGUAACUAACAUUUGUCAGUGACAAUUCAUCAGGUGCCAUUAUCUUUUAAAUUUUUCAGUGAUAUUUAUCAUCUUUUAUUUAUAUAUAAAUAGUAUUCUCAUGAAUGUAAAUGAUGUGCCACCUUAACCACGCAACAUCCUAGAAUAGAUACUAAUGUCAUCUUUAUCUGAUUGAUGGUCGUGUACAUGCACCAUUUUUAUUAUUUGCAAUUUCAUGUAUCAAAAAUAAGGUAAAUAAAAAAUAAUAUUUCAAUUUCUACAUUAUUGGGCCCAUGCUGGCACGGGCCAUCGCAACCUAAUUUAAAUAAACAUUUUGUUCCUUUUCUUGCUCCUAUAUUUCUGCAAAUGAUAAUGGAAUACUUUCUUGUUUGUUCCUUCCCAAUCGUCUAUGGCAUUUGUUGACUAACUUGUAUGCUAAUGUGCUGGCUUUAAGGGAAAUUGUGAAGAAAAAAAAGUGUAACAAGAUAUGUAUUACUAGCAUGGGCUUCCAAUACCAAUUCACGUGAUUGGUCAGCCAGGAUGGUGAGACAAGUGGGUUUUUAAGUAUGAGUGAUGAAAUUAGUAAAUUUCAUGUUCUGUGCACCCUUAUUGGAAAGUUAGGUGUUUUUUUAGAGCUGCACUUAGGCCACAAACCGAGCUCGAGAUAAAUCCUUGGAGUACAACUUCAGAAUGUACCGUGGAAGAAGAGAAUAAUGGAAACAGAAGGUAAACAGAGACAAUAAGUGUACAUGCUAAGCCAUGUUAAUUUGCUCACGUCAGAUAUAAAUGGAUAUAAGAUUAAUUUAUCAUGGUUAAGUGAUAAAAUUUGGGUAAAUGACAUCUUCAAAAAAUCUAAAAAAAUAAAUAUUGAUUUUAUGGAAUACAGGGAAACGAAAAUAAGAUAGGGGAUUAAGGAUUUCAGAAUUCAUACUACUCAAGUCUGCCUCUCUUCUUAUAUGGUGCUCUAUAUUACAGUACUUUUUUAUAAUGUAUAUUUGAUCAAUGCCUUGUAUUAACUUCUUUUAUUAUUCUUUUGUCUGAUAACUUUUUCAACUCUUAUAUAUAUCUGAACUGCAUGCCUUUAUUUUUUUCAAUUAAUUAUUUUUCAUAAACGUGAUAGAGGAAAUAAUGUUGUGUCACUUUAAAGUUUAAACAUCCCUUAAUGUAAUACUCCUAUGGACACAAAUAAUGUAUAUUUUAGUUAAAAUGUAUGUAAAUUAUGUGUGUAUUACUAAGCAUUAAAUGUUGUGUACUCAAUACUUGUAACAUUAAUUUAUUUGUAAUUAUACAUCGUUCAAAGUUAAAUAAUAUUGGGUCUAUGCUGGCACGAGCUGCACCAACCUAGUUCACAAAUAAAUCAGUUGUGCCAUAUCAUUGCGAACUUUGGUCGAGUCGGACUGGAAAUCUUGGCCACUUUGGAUGAAGCCCAUUAUGUGAGCCCUCAAACUAUUCUUUCCUCUAGAAAUUUAUAGUUUUUCUUUUUCAAUUGAUCAUCUAACUUAUAUACAUUAAUAUUGUAAUAAUUCUUACACAUUUGAUAGUAGCUAAACCUGACAAAGUUAGGUUAAUAUUUGGAGUUCUCGAAGGUUUCUAACCACUAAUGGACAAAAACAAAUAAUCUAUUUGAUCAAACUUCUAAAAUCUAACUUAUUUUACAAAAUAUUUUUCUCAAAAAUAAUUUUAAAAAGUUAUAUUUGAUUAAUUAAUUUGAAAAGUCCUUUUGAGCAGCAAUUAAUGUUGGGUUAAACUUUUAAAAAAUAUUUCUAAAUAUAUUUUUCUCAAAAGUAUUUUUCAAAAGGUAUUUUUGAGGAGAAGCUAAUUUUUUGACUUCUCAAAAACUACUUCUGCUUCUAAUCAAAAAUACUCUUUUUCUUUCCUUCUAUUACUUAGUCAAAUACCUUAUAGUGAAUAUCAUAUUAAACUUGUUUUAUGCUGUAUGGUAGUGUGAUCAUAAUUAAUGUUGUUUAAUUGGUUAAAUAUUUUGAAAUUUACUCCACAAAGUUUGAGUACAUUCAUCAAUCGUAAUUUAUUAUAGCUCCAGUUAUGUAAUACUUUGGUAAUACAUUAUCAGCUAAUUAUCAAAGGGAAAGUGUCCUUGUUACUUAUAAAUACUCCUUCCGAUUCAAAAUAAGUAAUUUUUUGGUCUUUUUUUAUGUUAUAAAAUAAGUGAUUUUUUCGGAUUUCAAGAAUGAAUUAAUUAUUUUUUUGUUACAAUGUCCUUGGAGUAAAUAAUGUUGGAAUAUAUAUUAGGAGUAUUUAUGUGAAAUAACAAAGGUUAAUAUGAUUAAUUUUAUUGCUAAUUAAUGUUAAAAGAUGAAUUUCUUAAUCUGUAUAAAAACAUUCAAAAAGUCACUUACUUUGGAUCGGGAAGUAAUAAAUUCGGAGUGGUAGGAAUUUAUCCUUGAAUGUGUUUGAGUCUUUGAGAAAUUACUACUGAGUUUGUAAUAAUGCCCCUUCUUCUCUUUUUUUUGGNNNNNNNNNNNNNNNNNNNNNNNNNNNNNNNNNNNNNNNNNNNNNNNNNNNNNNNNNNNNNNNNNNNNNNNNNNNNNNNNNNNNNNNNNNNNNNNNNNNNNNNNNNNNNNNNNNNNNNNNNNNNNNNNNNNNNNNNNNNNNNNNNNNNNNNNNNNNNNNNNNNNNNNNNNNNNNNNNNNNNNNNNNNNNNNNNNNNNNNNNNNNNNNNNNNNNNNNNNNNNNNNNNNNNNNNNNNNNNNNNNNNNNNNNNNNNNNNNNNNNNNNNNNNNNNNNNNNNNNNNNNNNNNNNNNNNNNNNNNNNNNNNNNNNNNNNNNNNNNNNNNNNNNNNNNNNNNNNNNNNNNNNNNNNNNNNNNNNNNNNNNNNNNNNNNNNNNNNNNNNNNGUGGGGGCGGUUAAUUAAGAUGGAAACAACCGUGUAUUAACAAAACAAAAAACUGCCGUCAGUCUUCCUUGUACUUAUUAACUUCUUUAAGUGUGUACUCCUUUUAAUUAAUUUCACCUUGUCCUUAUUCUACUAGUAAAAUUCUUCACAUCUCUCAUUUUCUCUACAAGUUUAAUAAAAAAAAUUUAUGCACUUAAUUAUGUAAGCUUCAGUUACUUCUUUCACUCUUAGUAAACUGUAACACUAUAAAAACACAAAACAUACAAUUUUUGAAGAUGCAUAAAUCCCCGAAAGCAGAUAAAUUUAUGAAGGAUUUGGAUAACAAAAUAAAUCGGAAAAAAAAUAAUCAGAAAUAGCCAGAUCUCACGACGGGUAAUUAAUAGUCACAUUUUUAAAAAUAAUCGAAAUUUAGCUAUUUUUCAUGUAAAGAUAAAAUCUGAAUAAAAAUACCCUUAAAAGUUCGAAAAAACAUUCAAGCAUAAUAUGCUUGAGUUCGAUUUUUUCACAUAUAAGAUUCCAAUAAAAUGUGAUGGAAUUUUAUAAUGUGUUAGGGUUCAACAUAAUAUUUUGAAAGUUUAUAUGCAGGAGCUCUAUAAUCCAGCAUAUUGUGCUAGAAUUUUUCAUGUGAUAUUGUUCCGACAUAAUAUACUGGAAGUUUAUAUGUGUGAACUUCAUAAGACAGCAUAUUAUGCUGGAACUUUUUAUUUUCCAGUAAAAUAGUGGCAUUUUGUCACGAAUUUAAAAAUGCUGGCUAUUUUCAAUUACCCAUCCGAAAACUGGUUAACCUGUAUCAUUUUCACAAAUAAAUCAAUGAAAUUUGUACCUCCUGUAGCAAAGGUUGAUACUUUAUUUAUUUAAAUAAAUACCAUUUUAAAAAUUUAUAUUCCAUUGCUACAUCUUGAUGUGAUGAACCAAAAGGUCAUAACCUGUAUUAAAAAUAAAUUAUGUGUUCCGAGACCGUAAAACCUCUUUCUUCAUCACCUCAAUUUGCGUGCGCAAUCCGGGCGCAUAGCCGGAAAGCCAUUAUGUGAAAAACCAUGAAAAAUGAUAAAAAAAUUAUCUUUAACUAAAUUUAAGUUGACUUCGGUCAGCAUUUUAGGUAAACGGAUCCGGACUAGUAAUUUGACGGUCCUGGAGGAUCCGUAACAAAAUAUGGGACUUGGGCGCAUGCCCGAAAUCGAAUUCCGAGGUCCCAAGCCCGAGAAAUGAAUUUUUAAAGAAAAUUAUUUUCUGAAAAUAUGUGAGUUUUGGAAAUGAAAAAUGUUCGGAAGUUGUUGGUAUCGGGCCCGUAUUUUGGUUCCAGAGCCUGGUACAUAUCUUAUAUGUUGUUUAAGUUGAGUUUGUGGAAUUUGGUAAGAAACGGACUUGAAAUGACGUGAAUCGAACUUUAUUUUAGAAAAUUUAAAAUUUUGAUGUUCUUAAGUGAUUUCAUGAUUUUGAUACUAAAUUCGUAGUUGUUAUGGUUAUUUUAGUGAUUUGAAUGCACGACAAGUCCUAUGUUGUUUUAGGUUGGUGUGCAUGUUUGGUUUGGAGUCCUGACGACUCGGGUGAGUUUUGGAUAGGCCCCGGAGUAUUUUGAACUUAGGAAGUUUCAGAUUCUCAACUGCUAUGAGUUGCAGGUUUAGAGGCUUCACAAUUGCGAGCUCGCAUUUGCGAGAGACCUAUCGCAAUUGCGAUGAUGGGUUGGGGCAGGAACCCUCGCAUUUGCGAGGCUUAUGUCACAAAUGCAAUUUCAAUAGGGACGGCAAAUGCAAACAAUUGUUCGCAAUUACAAAAACAGCAAGACUUGGCCUACCUUCUCAUUUGCGAAGCCUGGGCCGCAUUUGCGAGUUCGUAUUUGAGAACCUGAAUUCGCAAAUACGAUAUCUGCACAUGUGGAAAUUAUAACUUAGCCAAAAAUCUCUCAUUUUUCAAACCCAUUCAAAUCCAAAACUCUCUUGGGCGAUUUUUCAAAGACAAGUACUCUUUAAAUCGAUUGUAAGUCAUUUCUAACUUGUUUUUAUUAACAUUUAAUAUCUUUUCUCAUGAUUUCAACUCAAAAUCAAAGGUUUUGAUGGGGGAAAACAGGUGUUUUGGGUAGAACCUAGGUUUUUUAGAUUUUAGGGAUUUGGACCUUGAUUUGAAGUCCGAUUUCAAAACAAAUUAUUUAUUUGGUUUCGUGGGAAAUAAGUAAUUGGGUUUUGGUUCAAACCCCGGGCUUUGACCACGUGGGCCCGGGGGCGAUUUUUGACUUUUUGGGCAAAACUUUAGCAAACUUAUUUUCAUGCAUUACAAUUGAUUUAAUUAGCAUUUAUGAUGUAAUUAAGUAACUUGUGGCUAGAUACGAGCGAUUUGGUGAUGGAAUCAAGAGGUAAAGUGAUAGUUGAGGCUUGAAUUGUGUUCGUGGCAUCGAGGUAAGUGUUUGGUCUAAUCUUAACUUGAGGGAUUAGGAGUUGUCUUAUUCGCUAUGUGUUAACUGUGGAGUAUGACGUAUAGGCAUGGUGACGAGUAUUUAUACAUCGGUGUCAAGCAUGCACGUGAGUCUUGUAUUGUAAUUUUGUGACUCCAUUAUGGCUUAUUCGUGCUUCAUAUGAGAAUUAUAUUAUUGUUCCCUUGCAGGGAAGUUGUUGUGGUAUUACUGUUCCCUUGCGGGGAUGUUGUUGUGAUAUUAUUGUUCCCUUGUUGGAAUAUUGUUAUAAUAUUAUUGUUCCCUUACUGGGAUAUUGUUAUUAUGCUAUUGUUCCCUUGCCGAGAUUAUUUUAUGAUUGGUGUUGAUAGAUGAAAUGGGAGCAGGUUGCAUGCCUGCAACGGUAAUACAUGAAAUGGGAGUGGGUUACACGCCUGCAAUAGUAAUACAUAAAAUGGGAGCAGGUUGCACGCUUGCAAUGGUAAUACAUAAAAUGGGAGCGGGUUACACGCCUAUUACGGUAAUACAUGAAAUGGGAGAGAGUUACAUGCCUGCAACGGUAAUAGAUUAAAUGGGAACGGGCUGCAUGCCUGCAAUAGUACUAUAUGAAAUGGGAUCGGGUUGCAUGCCUGCAACAGUGUUACAAGUGUACUUGUUCUUCUUAUUUCCUUAUCUUUUGUUAGUAAUUGAUUUAUGGUGUUCCUUACAUUUAUCUACUGUAAUUCUAUUGCUAUCUUACUUCCUGCAGCAUGUUCCCCCUCCCAACUUUAGUUGUACUUAUCUGUUUCUAUUUUCGUUGUAUAUGGUUUAACUACAUAGGUUUAUUUGGUAGUCUGGUCCUAGCCUCGUCACUACUUCGGUGAGGUUAGGCUUAGCACUUACCAGCACAUGGGGUCGAUUGUGCUGAUACUACACUCUGCACUAUGUGCAUAUACUGAUUCUGGAGCGUUUGGACCGCCGUAAGGGUGUUGUCUUCAGUCCAUUCAGGCGACCCAAGGUAGUCCUGCAGACGUCCGCGGGCCUUGGAGUCUUCUACUAUCUUUUUUCUUUCUAUUUUUACUUAUUCAGAGACAGACUUAUGUAUUUCUAUUCAGAGCUUAUUUAUUAUAAUCUUAGAUAGUAUGUGACUUGUGAAACCAAAUUAUGGGUAAUAUGGAACUUCAGAUUAUGUAAUAGUAUUUGGUUAAACUAUUAAGUUUCCACUUUCGCAAUUUCUAUUAUUUAAUUUAUUUCGCUGUUAAUAACUUAUUAUUUUUAAAUUGUUUAAAACGUCUAAUAAAAAGAGUAAUGAUUUUUUAUAUUCGGCUUUCCUAGCUUCUACGAGUAGUCGUCAUCACGACUUUCGAGGGGGAAAAUUUUGGAUCGUGACAAGUUGUUAUCAGAGCUUUAGGUUGCAUACAUAUCACAAUUUACGGACAAGCUUAAUAGAGUCUGAGGGAUCGGUACAGAGACGUCUCUAUUUAUCCCCCAGAUGCUACAGAGUUAGGAAAAAUUUCACAUCUAUUCUUUCUUGUCGUGCGGUUUGGUUUCUCAAUGCUAAUUGUAUUUCUAUUAUGUUAUUUUUUUGCAAAUGGAGAGAACACGCGCUUAUUCAUCCACUGAUCAUCAGCUCGAGCCCUCAGCAGCUCCCACGAGGGGCAGAGGGCGAGGCCGAGGCCAUAUUAGAAGUCGAGGCAUGGGCAAAGCUCAAUCCAGAGCAGCAGCACCAACGGUGAAGCCUCAAGUUGACUUUGAUGAUAAGGUUCAGGCCCAGGCAGUUUUGUUGGACCCAGCUCAAGUCCCAGAGGGGUUCAUUGCUACCUCAGUACUCCAAGAUGCUCUGGGCCGUCUAGUGGGCCUUAUGGAUAGUAUCACCCG
rnacentral:lncRNA from 1 species